rnacentral:rRNA from 1 species
GUGAGGAAUAUUGCGCAAUGGAGGCAACUCUGACGCAGCCAUGCCGCGUGCAGGAAGAAGGCGCUACGCGUUGUAAACUGCUUUUAACCGGGAAGAAACCCCAGGACGUGUCCUGGGUUGACGGUACCGGAGGAAUAAGCACCGGCUAACUUCGUGCCAGCAGCCGCGGUAAUACGAAGGGUGCAAGCGUUAUCCGGAUUCAUUGUGUUUAAAGGGUGCGUAGGCGGAGCGUUAAGUCAGUGGUGACAUCCUGCAGCUUAACUGUAGGCUUGCCAUUGAUACUGGCGCUCUUGAGUGCGCUUGAAGUGGGCGGAAUGUGCCGUGUAGCGGUGAAAUGCUUAGAUAUGGCACAGAACACCAAUUGCGAAGGCAGCUCACUAAGGCGAUACUGACGCUGAGGCACGAAAGCGUGGGGAUCGAACAGGAUUAGAAACCCGUGUAGUCC